rnacentral:rRNA from 1 species
UUCCGGUUGAUCCUGCCGGACCUGACUGCUAUCGGAUUGAUACUAAGCCAUGCGAGUCUUUGUAGUAAUACAAGGCAGACGGCUCAGUAACACGUAGUCAACCUACCCUAUGGACGAGAAUAAUCUCGGGAAACUGAGCAUAAUUCUUGAUAGAUCAUAAUGCCUGGAAUGGUUUAUGGUUAAAAUGAUUCGUCGCCAUAGGAUGGGACUGCGGCCUAUCAGCUUGUUGGUGAGGUAAUGGCCCACCAAGGCGAUUACAGGUACGGGCUCUGAGAGGAGAAGCCCGGAGAUGGGUACUGAGACACGGACCCAGGCCCUAUGGGGCGCAGCAGGCGAGAAAACUUUGCAAUGUGCGAAAGCACGACAAGGUUAAUCCGAGUGAUUUCUGCUAAAGAAAUCUUUUGUCAGUCAUAAAACCACUGGCGAAUAAGGGGUGGGCAAGUUCUGGUGUCAGCCGCCGCGGUAAAACCAGCACCUCAAGUGGUCAGGAUGAUUAUUGGGCCUAAAGCAUCCGUAGCCGGCUUUGUAAGUUUUCGGUUAAAUCCAUGUGCUCAACGCAUGGGCUGCCGAAAAUACUGCAUGGCUAGGGAGUGGGAGAGGUAGACGGUACUCAGUAGGAAGGGGUAAAAUCCUUUGAUCUAUUGAUGACCACCUGUGGCGAAGGCGGUCUACCAGAACACGUUCGACGGUGAGGGAUGAAAGCUGGGGGAGCAAACCGGAUUAGAUACCCGGGUAGUCCCAGCUGUAAACGAUGCAGACUCGAUGAUGCAUUGGCAUAAUAGCCAGUGCAGUGUCGCAGGGAAGCCGUUAAGUCUGCCGCCUGGGAAGUACGUACGCAAGUAUGAAACUUAAAGGAAUUGGCGGGGGAGCACCACAAGGGGUGAAGCCUGCGGUUCAAUUGGAUUCAACGCCGG